rnacentral:lncRNA from 1 species
AGAUCAUGUACCAUUCUAGUAAAGGUGAUGUAGUUGCAGAUGCUCUUAGCUGGAAUGAAUAAAUCUUAUUGGGUCAAUUGUUGAAUUCUAUCUAGAGGAUGCUCAAGACUAUUCAAGGUCUCUACUUGAACCAUUAUGGCAUCAAUGCAUACUUUGUCCAGAUCUGAAUUCAGGGGACCCUCUUCAUGAGAAUUUGGGAAGCUCAAGCACCGAAUCAGGAGAUUUUGAAGCACAUCAACAAGUUUGCUUAUGAGGAAGUCUACGACUUUAGAAUAAUCGAUGAUGGAUUGUUAAGAUUCUGAGAU